GGCUGUGUUCUGCAGUAGUCGAGGUUAGAGUUAGGGAUUAGCAGCUUAAAAUGGGAGGUAAAUUUCUCCUAAGGCUAAAUAACGGCGAGAGACCGAUAGCGAACAAGUACCGUGAGGGAAAGAUGAAAAGAACUUUGAAAAGAGAGUUAAACAGUACGUGAAAUUGUUGAAAGGGAAACGAUUGAAGCCAGUCGUACCUUCGGGUAAUCAGCCUUUCGGGUGCGAUUAUGUGGAGUGUGAGGAGCUUAAACACCUUCAUGUUUUGCAUAUUCGUACUCUUGGGUGUACUUGCCCGUGUGGUUGGUUAACAUCAAUUUUGGUGGUCAUAAAAUGACUGGAGGAAUGUAGCUUCGAUCUCGUAUUGAAGUGUUAUAGCCUUCGGUAGAUGUGAUGAUCGAGAUUGAGGAUUGCAACGGAUACCCUUCGGGGCUACCUGUCUGAUCUCUGAUCGUUGCUCUGGUGCCGAAAGCUUGCUUACGGUUAUCAAAGUCGAUGGUCAAUAGGUUAGAACGGGUUAAAUUCGUUAAGGAUGUUGACGUAAUGGA
rnacentral:rRNA from 1 species